rnacentral:rRNA from 1 species
ACACAUGCAGUCGAGGGGUAUUGGUUUUCGGACCAAGAGACCGGCGCACGGGUGCGUAACGCGUAUGCAAUCUACCUUUCACAGAGGGAUAGCCCAGAGAAAUUUGGAUUAAUACCUCAUAGUAUGCAGAGUUGGCAUCAACACUGCAUUAAAGUCACAACGGUGAAAGAUGAGCAUGCGUCCCAUUAGCUUGUUGGUAAGGUAACGGCUUACCAAGGCAACGAUGGGUAGGGGUCCUGAGAGGGAGAUCCCCCACACUGGUACUGAGACACGGACCAGACUCCUACGGGAGGCAGCAGUGAGGAAUAUUGGUCAAUGGACGCAAGUCUGAACCAGCCAUGCCGCGUGCAGGAUGACGGUCCUAUGGAUUGUAAACUGCUUUUGUACNAGAAGAAACACUCCUACGUGUAGGANCUUGACGGUAUCGUAAGAAUAAGGAUCGGCUAACUCCGUGCCAGCAGCCGCGGUAAUACGGAGGAUCCAAGCGUUAUCCGGAAUCAUUGGGUUUAAAGGGUCCGUAGGCGGUUUAGUAAGUCAGUGGUGAAAGCCCAUCGCUCAACGGUGGAACGGCCAUUGAUACUGCUAGACUUGAAUUAUUAGGAAGUAACUAGAAUAUGUAGUGUAGCGGUGAAAUGCUUAGAGAUUACAUGGAAUACCAAUUGCGAAGGCAGGUUACUACUAA